AACGGCAGCACAGUAGGAGCUUGCUCUUAUGGGUGGCGAGUGGCGGACGGGUGAGGAAUACAUCGGAAUCUACCUUUUCGUGGGGGAUAACGUAGGGAAACUUACGCUAAUACCGCAUACGACCUUCGGGUGAAAGCAGGGGACCUUCGGGCCUUGCGCGGAUAGAUGAGCCGAUGUCGGAUUAGCUAGUUGGCGGGGUAAAGGCCCACCAAGGCGACGAUCCGUAGCUGGUCUGAGAGGAUGAUCAGCCACACUGGAACUGAGACACGGUCCAGACUCCUACGGGAGGCAGCAGUGGGGAAUAUUGGACAAUGGGCGCAAGCCUGAUCCAGCCAUACCGCGUGGGUGAAGAAGGCCUUCGGGUUGUAAAGCCCUUUUGUUGGGAAAGAAAAGCAGUCGGCUAAUACCCGGUUGUUCUGACGGUACCCAAAGAAUAAGCACCGGCUAACUUCGUGCCAGCAGCCGCGGUAAUACGAAGGGUGCAAUCGUUACUCGGAAUUACUGGGCGUAAAGCGUGCGUAGGUGGUUGGUUCACUCU
rnacentral:rRNA from 1 species